GUGCGCAGCUCCGGUGCCCAGCGCGCAAGGCGCGCCCCAGUCCCGCGCGUCCCAGCCGCUGUCUGUCUCCCCCACUGCCUCCUCUGUGCUGACUCAUUGAGCGACCCCGACUUGUCUCAAAAUAAAACAGGGGCACAGACACUUGUAGUCUGGACAGACUCCCCCCGAGGCUAGAGUCUAUAGGAACUGGAGACAUCCCUGUACCGAUCCUGGUACCAAUGCGCCCCUGUUCGCGCUGUGGUUCUCAGUCUCGCUCCCACCGCAACCCCUUCCCCCCGUAACUCGAGAAAUUUAAACCAGCGUCUUAAAAAUAAACCGCGUGGGAGCCCGGGAGUUCGUGAAUGUGGCCGACAGGAUAGGAAAAGGUUUUAUUGUUGUUCAACUUCUGACCAAAAUGGGAUCUUUGAGUCACUGAAUUUUAAGGAGUCAGGAGAUAUGGAACAGCAGUUUCCCUGACCUAGAGGUUCAGAGAACAGACCCAGGGACUUUAGGGGCUGGCCUUGGUAUGAGUGAGCAAAAUGAAGUGGUUUGUGGCUGAAACAACCUCCACGGGAAAGAAAACUGGAGUGUUCGUUCAUCCAUCAAAGAACAAACGCCAACGUCUGAGCCAACGACCCCAGCUCCCCCAGACAAAGCAGUGAACAGAUUAAAGGAUGGGAGGAAGGAUACAAUCAAAAUCGGGUGGUGAUGGCUGGCAGAUAAAAAUAUGGAACGCUUCAUGAAUUUGCGUGUCGUUCUUGCGCAGGGGCCAUGCUAAUCUUCUGUGUAUCCUUCCAAUUUUAGCAUAUGUGCUGCCAAAGCAAGCACUUUUUUUUUCUUUAAUAGAGACAGGGUCUCGCUUUUAUGCCCCGCCUGGUCUCAAACUCCUGGCUUCAAGUGAUCCUCCUGCCUCAGCCUCCCAAAGCGCUGGCAUUACAGGCUUGAGUCACCAUAUCUGGCCAAUUGAUUGCUUUCUUUUCUUUUUUGUUUUUUUUUUUGAGUUGAUGCCUCACUCUGUCGCCCAGGCUGGAGUGCAGUAGUGCAAUCUCAGCUCACUGCAACGUCUGCCUGUGUUAAGCGAUUCUCCUGCCUCAGCCUCCCGAGAAGAAGGGAUUACAGGCAUACGCCACCCACACCCAGCUAAGUUUUGUAUUUUUAGUAGAGAUGGGUUUUUGACAUGUUGUCCAGGCUGGUCUCAAACUCCCAACCUCAAAUAAUCCGCCCACCUGGGACUCCCAAAGUGCUGGAAUUACAGGUGUGAGCCACCUUGUCUGUGCCAGUUGAUUGUUUUCUGAUUAUAAAAGUAAUGGAUCACUGUAGAAGACUUGGAAAAUACAAAAAAGAAUCGUGAAAACGUCUG
rnacentral:lncRNA from 1 species